ACACAUGCAAGUCGGGGGGCAGCGGGAUUGAAGCUUGCUUCAAUUGCCGGCGACCGGCGCACGGGUGAGUAACGCGUAUCCAACCUUCCGUACACUCAGGGAUAGCCUUUCGAAAGAAAGAUUAAUACCUGAUGGUAUGAUGAGAUUGCAUGAUAGCAUCAUUAAAGAUUCAUCGGUGUACGAUGGGGAUGCGUUCCAUUAGGUAGUAGGCGGGGUAACGGCCCACCUAGCCUACGAUGGAUAGGGGUUCUGAGAGGAAGGUCCCCCACAUUGGAACUGAGACACGGUCCAAACUCCUACGGGAGGCAGCAGUGAGGAAUAUUGGUCAAUGGACGAGAGUCUGAACCAGCCAAGUAGCGUGAAGGAUGAAGGUCCUACGGAUUGUAAACUUCUUUUAUAAGGGAAUAAAACCUCCCACGUGUGGGAGCUUGUAUGUACCUUAUGAAUAAGCAUCGGCUAACUCCGUGCCAGCAGCCGCGGUAAUACGGAGGAUGCGAGCGUUAUCCGGAUUUAUUGGGUUUAAAGGGAGCGCAGACGGGUCGUUAAGUCAGCUGUGAAAGUUUGGGGCUCAACCUUAAAAUUGCAGUUGAUACUGGCGUCCUUGAGUGCGGUUGAGGUGUGCGGAAUUCGUGGUGUAGCGGUGAAAUGCUUAGAUAUCACGAAGAACUCCGAUUGCGAAGGCAGCACACUAAGCCGUAACUGACGUUCAUGCUCGAAAGUGUGGGUAUCAAACAGGAUUAGAUACCCUGGUAGUCCACACGGUAAACGAUGGAUACUCGCUGUUGGCGAUAUACUGUCAGCGGCUUA
rnacentral:rRNA from 1 species